rnacentral:rRNA from 1 species
GACAGAGGGGGCCAGCGUUGUCCGGAUUGACUGGGUCGUACAGCGCGCGCAGGCGGUUGGUGACGUGCCGUGUGACAUCUUGCUGCUCACCAGCAAGUGGUCACGGUAAACGCAUCGACUAGAGGGACCGAGAGGGAUGUGGAAUACCCGGUGGAGCGGUGAAAUGCGUAGAGAUCGGGUGGAACACCCAGGGGCGAAGG